rnacentral:rRNA from 1 species
UACAGAGGGUGCAAGCGUUAAUCGGAAUUACUGGGCGUAAAGCGCGCGUAGGCGGUUGUGUAAGUUGGAUGUGAAAUCCCCGGGCUUAACCUGGGAAUGGCAUUCAAAACUGCACGGCUAGAGUAUUGGAGAGGAAGGUAGAAUUCCAGGUGUAGCGGUGAAAUGCGUAGAGAUCUGGAGGAAUACCGAUGGCGAAGGCAGCCUUCUGGCCAAAUACUGACGCUGAGGUGCGAAAGCGUGGGGAGCAAACAGG